rnacentral:rRNA from 1 species
UACGUAGGGUGCAAGCGUUAAUCGGAAUUACUGGGCGUAAAGCGUGCGCAGGCGGUUUUGUAAGUCUGUCGUGAAAGCCCCGGGCUCAACCUGGGGAUUGCGAUGGAGACUGCAAGGCUUGAAUCUGGCAGAGGGGGGGUAGAAUUCCACGUGUAGCAGUGAAAUGCGUAGAGAUGUGGAGGAACACCGAUGGCGAAGGCAGCCCCCUGGGUCAAGAUUGACGCUCAUGCACGAAAGCGUGGGGAGCAAACAGG